CGAGUGAAGUGGGAAAAGCUCAACUUUGUAAUCUGGCUCUUUCAGAGUCCGAGUUGUAGUCUAUCGAAGUGUUAUCCGCGCCGGACCUUAGCUAAGGCUGUUGGAAUGCAGCGUCAAAGAGGGUGAGAAUCCCGUACUUUCUAAGGAGCUCCCGUGUGCAUUGUGAUACAUUUUCAAAGAGUCGAGUUGUUUGGGAAUGCAGCUCAAAGUGGGUGGUAAAUUCCAUCUAAAGCUAAAUAUUGGCGAGAGACCGAUAGCGAACAAGUACCGUGAGGGAAAGAUGAAAAGCACUUUGGAAAGAGAAUGAAACAGUAUGUGAAAUUGCUGGAAGGGAAACGAUUGAAGUUAGACUUGCGUGUGUAAUAUUCAGCCUUUCUUCGGAUCUGGUGUAUUUGUUGCACUUUGCAGGCCAGCAUCAGUUUGUUCGCUGUAAAAGGGUAAAGAGAACGUGGCUUCCCCGGAAGUGUUAUAGCUCCUUACUGGAUGCAGAGUUGCAGACUGAGGAACGCAGUGCGCCGCAAGGCAGAGUCUUUAGAUUCAGAGCACUUAGG
rnacentral:rRNA from 1 species